rnacentral:rRNA from 1 species
ACGACCGUACCGCAAACCGACACUGGUGCGCGAGAUGAGUAUUCUAAGGCGCUUGAGAGAACUCAGGAGAAGGAACUCGGCAAAUUGACACCGUAACUUCGGAAGAAGGUGUGCCUUUAGUAGGUGAACCUGUACAAGGGGAGCCCAAUGAGGUUGCAAAAAAUCGGUGGCUGCGACUGUUUAAUAAAAACACAGCACUCUGCAAACACGAAAGUGGACGUAUAGGGUGUGACGCCUGCCCGGUGCUGGAAGAUUAAAUGAUGGGGUGCAAGCUCUUGAUUGAAGUCCCAGUAAACGGCGGCCGUAACGAUAACGGUCCUAAGGUAGCGAAAUUCCUUGUCGGGUAAGUUCCGACCUGCACGAAUGGCGUAACGAUGGCCACACUGUCUCCUCCUGAGACUCAGCGAAGUUGAAAUGUUUGUGAUGAUGCAAUCUCCCCGCGGAAAGACGGAAAGACCCCAUGAACCUUUACUGUAGCUUUGUAUUGGACUUUGAACAGAUCUGUGUAGGAUAGGUGGGAGGCUUUGAAGUGUGGUCGCUAGAUCGCAUGGAGCCAACGUUGAAAUACCACCCUGGUGUGUUUGAGGUUCUAACCUAGGCCCGUAAUCCGGGUCGGGGACAGUGCAUGGUAGGCAGUUUGACUGGGGCGGUCUCCUCCCAAAGCGUAACGGAGGAGUUCGAAGGUACGCUAGGUACGGUCGGACAUCGUGCUAAUAGUGCAAUGGCAUAAGCGUGCUUAACUGCGAGACUGACAAGUCGAGCAGAUGCGAAAGCAGGACAUAGUGAUCCGGUGGUUCUGUAUGGAAGGGCCAUCGCUCAACGGAUAAAAGGUACUCUGGGGAUAACAGGCUGAUACCGCCCAAGAGUUCAUAUCGACGGCGGUGUUUGGCACCUCGAUGUCGGCUCAUCUCAUCCUGGGGCUGUAGCCGGUCCCAAGGGUAUGGCUGUUCGCCAUUUAAAGAGGUACGUGAGCUGGGUUUAAAACGUCGUGAGACAGUUUGGUCCCUAUCUUCCGUGGGCGCUGCAGAUUUGAGGAAGCCUGCUCCUAGUACGAGAGGACCGGAGUGGACACACCUCUGGUGUAUCGGUUGUCACGCCAGUGGCAUUGCCGAGUAGCUAUGUGUGGAAGAGAUAACCGCUGAAAGCAUCUAAGCGGGAAACUCGUUUCAAGAUGAGAUCUGCCGGGGCCUUGAGCCCCCUAAAGAGUCGUUCAAGACCAGGACGUUGAUAGGUCGGGUGUGGAAGCGCAGUAAUGCGUUAAGCUAACCGAUACUAAUUGCUCGUGCGGCUUGAUC